UACGGAGGGUGCAAGCGUUAUCCGGAUUCACUGGGUUUAAAGGGUGCGUAGGUGGGCUAGUAAGUCCGUGGUGAAAUCUCCAAGCUUAACUUGGAAACUGCCGUGGAUACUAUUAGUCUUGAAUAUUGUGGAGGUAAGCGGAAUAUGUCAUGUGGCGGUGAAAUGCUUAGAUAUGACAUAGAACACCGAUAGCGAAGGCAGCUUGCUACACAAUCAUUGACACUGAGGCACGAAAGCGUGGGGAUCAAACAGG
rnacentral:rRNA from 1 species